AUUGAACGCUGGCGGCAGGCCUAACACAUGCAAGUCGAGCGGAUGAAGGGAGCUUGCUCCUGGAUUCAGCGGCGGACGGGUGAGUAAUGCCUAGGAACCUGCCUGGUAGUGGGGGAUAACGUCCGGAAACGGGCGCUAAUACCGCAUACGUCCUGCGGGAGAAAGUGGGGGAUCUUCGGACCUCACGCUAUCAGAUGAGCCGAGGUCGGAUUAGCUAGUUGGUGGGGUAAAGGCCUACCAAGGCGACGAUCCGUAACUGGUCUGAGAGGAUGAUCAGUCACACUGGAACUGAGACACGGUCCAGACUCCUACGGGAGGCAGCAGUGGGGAAUAUUGGACAAUGGGCGAAAGCCUGAUCCAGCCAUGCCGCGUGUGUGAAGAAGGUCUUCGGAUUGUAAAGCACUUUUAGUAGGAAAGAAACGCAGCAAGUUAAUACCUUGCUGAAUUGACGUUACCAACAGAAUAAGCACCGGCUAACUUCGUG
rnacentral:rRNA from 1 species